UACGUAGGGUGCGAGCGUUAAUCGGAAUUACUGGGCGUAAAGCGUGCGCAGGCGGUGAUGUAAGUCAGGUGUGAAAUCCCCGGGCUUAACCUGGGAACUGCAUUUGUGACUGCAUCGCUGGAGUACGGCAGAGGGGGAUGGAAUUCCGCGUGUAGCAGUGAAAUGCGUAGAUAUGCGGAGGAACACCGAUGGCGAAGGCAAUCCCCUGGGCCUGUACUGACGCUCAUGCACGAAAGCGUGGGGAGCAAACAGG
rnacentral:rRNA from 1 species